AUCGCUUCUCGGCCUUUCGGCUAAGAUCAAGUGCAGUAUCUGUUCUUAUCACUUUAAUAUCUGAUAAGUCCUCUAUCCGAGGACAAUAUAUUAAAUGGAUUUUUGGAGCAGGGAGUCUGAAUAGGGGCUUGCUCCAUCUGCUCCGCUCCACUCAUCGACCUGGUAUUGCAGUACUUCCAGGAACGGUGCACCUGCU
rfam:Erinaceus europaeus unplaced genomic scaffold scaffold00652, whole genome shotgun sequence